CCUACGGGAGGCAGCAGUAGGGAAUAUUGCUCCAUGGGGGAAACACUGAAGCAGCAACGCCGCGUGGAGGAUGAAGGUUUUCGUAUUGUAAACUACUUUUGUUAGAGAAGAUAAUGACGGUAUCUAACGAAUAAGCACCGGCUAACUCCGUGCCAGCAGCCGCGGUAAUACGGAGGGUGCAAGCGUUACUCGGAAUCACUGAGCGUAAAGAGCGCGUAGGCGGGAUAGCAAGUCAGAUGUGAAAUCCUAUGGCUUAACCAUAGAACUGCAUUUGAAACUGUUAUUCUAGAGUAUGGGAGAGGUAGGUGGAAUUCUUGGUGUAGGGGUAAAAUCCGUAGAGAGCAAGAGGAAUACUCAUUGCGAAGGCGACCUGCUAGAACAUAACUGACGCUGAUGCGCGAAAGCGUGGGGAGCAAACAGGAGUAGAUACCCGAGUAGUC
rnacentral:rRNA from 1 species